CAAUAGCGUAUAUUAAAGUUGUUGCAGUUAAAAAGCUCGUAGUUGGAUUUCUGGUGGGAGCGAUCGGUCUGGCGCUUAGCGCGAGUACUUGCAUCGUCUCCGGCCAUCCUUGGGGAGAGUCUGUCUGGCAUUAAGUUGUCGGGCAGAGGAUCCUCAUCGUUUACUGUGAAAAAAUUAGAGCGUUCAAAGCAGGCUUAUGCCGUUGAAUAUAUUAGCAUGGAAUAAUAAGAUAGGACUUUGGUACUAUUUUGUUGGUUUGCGCACCAAAGUAAUGAUUAAUAGGGACAGUUGGGGGUAUUCGUAUUCCGUUGUCAGAGGUGAAAUUCUUGGAUUUACGGAAGACGAACUACUGCGAAAGCAUUUACCAAGGAUGUUUUCAUUAA
rnacentral:rRNA from 1 species